UUUACACCUAAAUCCUAACCCUACAAGACACCUAAACCCUAGCCCUACAAAAGUUCACCCAGCUGCACCACCCCUCUGCCCGCCGCCGAAGUCACCGGAAAAGGAUAAUCCGGCGACGUGCCUCUCGCUGGUCCCCCAUGGUCCCCCCUCUCUCAUCUUCUCCUUCUUCCACGUCACCUACCCGUCAAACCUCAUGAUUCCUUAACUGAUUCACGCGUUUUUCACUCUUUUUGUUUUUUGAUAGAAAAAUGGGAUCUAUAUAUAAUAGGCUCAUUUUCGGUUGUAAGGAGAAGGAUUAAAAAAAACUAGGUUUCUUUCUUUGGGGAUUUUCGGACUUUCCAGUUUUCUCUUUCUUUCAGAUUUCAAACAAAAAAUUAAAAAAUAAAUAAAUAAAAUACAUUUCUGCUUCUUCUAUUCCAAUUUUAAUGGUGAUUUUCAAAAAUGGAGAUUUCUGAAAUUUGAAGCUGAGUCGAAGUGUCAUUCGAGUUCGCGGUUCCAGAAUCGUUUGCCGUUGCUCUAUUCGUUUCUAGUUGAAUUCAUCAUUCAAUCUUCUGCUUGUAUUCUUCCUUCCACCGGACAGAAAUAUAUUGGAAAAUUUCAUUUCAGAUACAAAUGUUGCAUAAGAAGAUGACAGUAUCUUGGGAAAUAAAUACCACUUGUGAGGAUAUUUGGAAGUUGAUGAGAUCUUUCGAAGGUAUCAACAUUAUAUAUAUUCCUAGAACUUAGAAUGUGCUAGCUCGUAAUCUAGCUAAAUCAUCUAUUUCACUUUUACGUGUGGUUUCUUGGGAUUCUGUUUUUUCAAGUUGGGUUGUAACUGAUGCAGUAUAGUCUUUUGAACAUUUCAGACAUGUUAUGAAGUAAUAAAAUUCAUUUGUUUACGGAAAAAACAUUUGGAAGCAGCAGCUAACUGGACUCGAGAACAUCUGUGCCUGAAAGAUAAACAAAAUCAUGAAUGAACUUUGACUAAUCGUGUUAUAGUAUCAGCCAGUGACAUAUCUUUUUGUUGGAGACAUGUAGUGGUAUUCCCACACAUAAACAGGAGAAAAGAGAUUAAUGGUGAUAGCUAAUCUGUUGCUGAUUGUGAUAAAGUUCAAUUGAACAAACGCCUGUGAAAUUCUUCAGGACUUACUUCUGUAUUUAAAUAUUACUCUCGACAUUAGCAUAUAAUGAUGAAAUAAUUUGCACUGAA